rnacentral:rRNA from 1 species
ACGAGACUCUUGCCUGCUAAAUAGACGGCGNCGACCUCAGUCGGCGGCCGUUUGCUUCUUAGAGGGACAAGCGGCUUUUAGCCGCGUGAAGCCGAGAGCAAUAACAGGUCAGUGAUGCCCUCAGAUGUUCGGGGCCGCACGCGCGCUACACUGUUUGCAUCAGCGUGUUUCUCCCGCGCCGGCUGGCGUGGGCAACCCGUUGAACCGCAAACGUGCUAGGGAUCGGAGAUUGCAAUUGUUCUCCGUGAACGAGGAAUUCCUUGUACUGGCGAGUCAUCAGCUCGCGGGGAAUCUGUCCCUGCCCUUUGUACACACCGCCCGUCGCUACUACCGAUUGAGUGGUUUAGUGAGGCUCACGGACUGCGCGCGGCACUCGGCGCCUUCGGGCGUCGCGCCGCGCCGCGGAAAGUGAGACGAACUUGAUCACUUCUAGGAAGUAAAA